CACUGCUCUGACGGAUGCUUUUAUUAGACCAAACCGCUGAGGACUUGGGGGUUCUCCUCUUGUCUGACUCGUGUGAUGGUGACUCUGGAUAACCAAUUCUGACAAGCGCACGUACUUCUCUUCUGAGCGAGACGGCGCUGCCACUUUCGAGUGUCUGCCUUAUCAGCUAUCAACCGUUCGUUAUGCGCGACCGAUGGCUUUGACGGGUAACGGGGAAUCAGGGUUCGAUUCCGGAGAGGCAGCCUGAGAGACGGCUACCACGUCCAAGGACGGCAGCAGGCACGCAAAUUACCCAAUCCCAGCAACUGGGGGAGGUAGUGACGAAAUCUAACGAUGCGGGCGCCCUUUCUGGGGCCCCGCAAUCGGAAUGGGCACUUUCUAAACAACCUGUUGAGAACCUACUGAAGGGCAAGUCUGGUGCCAGCAGCCGCGGUAAUUCCAGCUUCAGCAGCAUCUAUUAAAGUUGCUGCGGUUAAAAGGCUCGCAGUUGAAUGUCUGUAUCGAGCGCAGGUCAGGUGGACGUUGUGGCGUGGAAGUACGGGCAGUUGGAUGUCCGUGGGGCUUCGUGCUCAACGGCUCCUUCGGCUUUUCCACACACCCCCGUCCGUGACAAGCCUCCUCGCUCGGGUACAUAACGGGAAUCGGUCAAACGGAGUGUGGUUGGAGGUUGGGGUGCGUGGCUUCGGUUGCGUGCUUCUUCUUUCGGCUGCGUUAGCUCCAUCGGUUUCACGGUCACCUUGAGUAAAUCAGAGUGCUCAAGCAGUCGUAGGGGCCUUGCGCCCUGUGAACAGUCUUGACGGACUGACUUGGUUUGCAUGGCAUGUCGGAAGACGACGUCGUGUGCUGGCUCAGAGGAUAAAUCAGUGGUACAAGCCAGCCUCGACGUAAUGAUUAAAAGGGACGGUCGAGGGCAUUGGUAUUGCGAGGCGAGAGGUGAAAUUCUGUGACCCCCGCAAGACCUCCUGAAGCGAAAGCGUCUGCCAAGGACGUUUU
rnacentral:rRNA from 1 species